CCUGUAAAGCUGCUUUGGAACAAUGCACAUUGUGAAAAGCGCUAUAUAAAUAAAAUUGAAUUGAAUUGAAGCUGUGGACCGCAAGAUUGUGAAUGAUGACAUCACUUCUUUCAUCUCUGCUGUUUGCCUAAUGUUCGGCAGUUAUUACUGCUCCAACAUUCACUACCCUACUGAACUGGCGUCAGUGCUUGAAUUCCUGCAAAGGUGUUUUUCAUCAUCAAUCCGGAGAAAGGGAAUAAAGGAGGUGGAAAAGAAAAACAAAAAGCUACUCCCAGUUAACCCAAGAGUCUUCAUCCUAAUCUCUGACCUUUCUGAUCAUGAAUGGCGAGAGACUUCGUAAAGGUGG